UGUAAGUCUGUUGCAAUCCCUGUCUUCUCAGGGCUUUGACGGUGCGGUAUCGCCGUGUGGGGUCACCACCGACCACCCUCUCUCCGCACCGCAAUUUCCCCUCUAUCCCCUCCUUCAUUCUCCGUUCCUUCCUCAGCAGCUCCCUCGACGACGGUGGCAAGGCGCCGGUCGUGCGCGGCUCCGUCGAUCCCACCCGUCUGCGUUGAGCCCGUGUUCGAGGGCGGCUGCCGGUGCACUCCGGCGAUCCGGCCACCACCACGCGCCGGCGGGCGACGCAGACCAUGGUGGGUUACGGCUGCCGUCGUCCUCCAUGUGCAGCUCUCUCCAUGGGGAGCCCUCCUUCCCGGUGUCCUCCACGGGCCGCUCCGCCGCCGCAGGCCUCCGACGACCUUGCGGGGAACAACUCCAACCCUGCGCGGCCGAUCUUCAGGCCUAGGAGCGGCCUUUCUCCACUUUCCAGUUGCAAGGUAAAAGAUGGAUUUAUUGGCCGGUUUGCAUUCAGAUCAUGUAUAAGUAUAUCGAGCAGACUUUCUAUUGUUAAUGUGCAUUGGCCAUGUUCAAAUCGUAAUUGAACACUCAACAUGUACACUGCCCAUGUGCCUUUUUUACUACAAGAACUUUCCAACUAUAGGAUGUCACUAUAACAAUAUGUGAUUCAGUUGGGAGGUUCUGCAUUUGCUGCACAAUAUGAAUGAGCCGUGGUUUAUGAAAUUUCAAGUUAAUUAUUCAUUUCCAGGCACUUUGGAAACGCCACUUUUCAUGUUUGGUGAAGCAAGAAACUAUAUGCAUUGUAUAUUAUGUGAGAAAAUUUAGAGAAAUAUUUUGUGGAACUUGCAACCAAUAGUUAAUCGAUCAACGCGAUGGCUCACUAACGCCGCAAACUGUACCAUUCUUUGUGGAGCUAUUCUCUACAACAUAAGAUUUGCUCAGUGAUAUUCACUAUAUGCUGAAGUUUUACCUGAAUUAUUUACUUUUAUUGAUAUCUGUUUCAAGGAAAAAGCUGUGGAGAAUUGAACGGAUACUCCAAGAAGUAUUGUUUUGGUCACUGGGAUACUCCAAGAAGUAUUGUUUUAGUCACUGCAGCUACUAUAGAAAUUAUAUGUUAUAGAAAUACUAGAUUAGGGUUGAGUGGAUGCAAGUUUUAUUGUUUCCCCCUAUUUCAUUUUAGCCACAGUCAGCUUCUACAAGAAUGCCAUGAAGUCUCUUUAAUUUUUCUCACUGCAUGGUCUGAUCUUUGUUCACAUUUUCUUUGGCUGUCGUUGGAAAAUGGAAUAAAAUGAUGGACAAAGUUAUGUGGUUA